GACGAACGCUGGCGGCGUGCUUAACACAUGCAAGUCGAACGGAAAGGCCCUGCUUUUGUGGGGUGCUCGAGUGGCGAACGGGUGAGUAACACGUGAGUAACCUGCCCUUGACUUUGGGAUAACUUCAGGAAACUGGGGCUAAUACCGGAUAGGAGCUCCUGCUGCAUGGUGGGGGUUGGAAAGUUUCGGCGGUUGGGGAUGGAUUCGCGGCUUAUCAGCUUGUUGGUGGGGUAGUGGCUUACCAAGGCUUUGACGGGUAGCCGGCCUGAGAGGGUGACCGGCCACAUGGGGACUGAGAUACGGACCAGACUCCUACGGGAGGCAGCAGUGGGGAAUCUUGCACAAUGGGCGGAAGCCUGAUGCAGCAACGCCGCGUGCGGGAUGACGGCCUUCGGGUUGUAAACCGCUUUCGCCUGUGACGAAGCGGGAGUGACGGUAAUGGGUAAAGAAGCACCGGCUAACUACGUG
rnacentral:rRNA from 1 species